AGAUUGAACGCUGGCGGCAGGCCUAACACAUGCAAGUCGAGCGGCAGCACGGGUACUUGUACCUGGUGGCGAGCGGCGGACGGGUGAGUAAUGCCUAGGAAUCUGCCUGAUAGUGGGGGAUAACGUUCGGAAACGGACGCUAAUACCGCAUACGUCCUACGGGAGAAAGUGGGGGAUCUUCGGACCUCACGCUAUCAGAUGAGCCUAGGUCGAUUAGCUAGUUGAGGGUAAAGCCUACAAGGCAACGAUCCUUAGCUGGUCUGAGAGGAUGAUCAGCCACACUGGGACUGAGACACGGCCCAGACUCCUACGGGAGCAGCAGUAGGGAAUAGUGGACAAUGGGCAAAGCCUGAUCCAGCAAUGCCGCGUGAGUGAUGAAGCCGUUAGGUUGUAAAGCUACUUUACCCGAGUAUGAUAAUGACAGUAGUACGGAGAA
rnacentral:rRNA from 1 species